rnacentral:lncRNA from 1 species
AAGAGUAAUUUUUAAAGUCUUCCAUUGAAAGUUCCAUAUAUUUUAAACACAAAAAGAAAUAGCCUAGCAUACAAACAUUCUAGGGAUUCCCAAAUAAUUUCUCUAAUAGCAGAGAUCUCUGAUGUGCAAGUGGCCAGCGUGUUCCCAAAAUAUAAGCACUUCUAAUCUUGGCAAACUUGUCCUUGAGAUGCCAAUGUUGACUGGUGACUAUCCACAGGCAGGGCUAGAAAAGGGAGUGGAACAUUUUACUUAGGCAGGAAGCACUGAAGAGAAGAAUCUUUUUUUCAGUAGACAUUUGUGGGAAAUAAAAAUUUGUUUAGAAGAAUUUAGGCCAAGAGAUAAAAUGGUCUUCUUUUGACUGAGGAGAGAUAAGAUAGAUUUUAAGCAGACAUCUGAAGUUAAAGGUGAGAGAAGGAAGAUAAACUGGGUGAUUUUGCUCACCUAAGAAGGUACACAGAUCCAAAGAAAAAGAGAUUCGAGAGGUGUCUCCAGCUUCUGAUUUUGAUGACAUCUCCCAGAGAGGACCGUGUUGCCAUCACCAUCCCAGAGUCUGAAAGUGUCCAGGAAAUAUCAAUGAAAUCAUGGAAUUUUGAAGAAGAUACAACAAUUUUAUUUCUGCUACAACAGACGUUCUGCUAAUGGAACAGAAGUCAGCGAAGGACCUAUUAGGUUUUAGGUCACUUAUUACUCAAAGUUUAUACAUUCUACACUAAGUUAUUUAUUGCUCAAAUUUAUCUCAUAUUUAUUCCUAGAUUGUGUGUAUUAAUACAAGGCCCAGAAAAGUUGAAUAAUGUACAGUAUAUUUCAAGUAUUAUAAUUAAAAACUUAGAGAUUUAGCCCAGGUUUAUCUGAACCAAUAUCUUCUGUUUUUUUCACUCAAAUAUUUUGAGGAUGAGCAUUAUUUAGCAGUGAAUAGGUGUGUUCUUAGGCAGAAAAUCCUCCAAUGCAUUCUUCUUAGUGAAAGAAGCCAGACACAAACAGGAUGCAAAUUGUAAGAUUCUAUAUGAAAUAUAAAUCCAUGGAGACAUAACUCAGAUUGGGGGGUUGUUAGAGUAUAGAGAGGAAGGAUGGGGAGAAACUUCUAAAUGAAUAAGUUUUACUAAGCUUUGUGGAAAUAUUUUGCAACUCGAGAGAGAUGGUCAUUGCACAAUAUUGUGAAAAUGCUGAAUGACACUUAAUCGUUCAUUUUAAAAUGGGUAAUUUUAUGUUGUGUGAAUUUCACCCUAGCAAAUUAUUUUUAAAAUAGAAAAUACAACUGUGAUGACAAAGAACAUUAGACUCCAGUUCUAACAUUAUGACAGUUAAUGCAUGGAAAUAGAUAUGACUCUUUUCUUCCCCCACACAUUACAUUACAAAAGUUGAUACCCAACAUUAAAUCCUUUCGUAAUAGAGAAAAUAUUGCUAGACAAUGACAGUGGUUCCAAGGCAGCUUUAAGAACAGAAGUGCCACAUGUAACUCACUGUGAUUCAUAUCUGUGUUUUGCUUAGUACCUAACACCAUACCUGGCAAAAU